rnacentral:tRNA from 1 species
CCUGGUAGCUCAGUUGGUAAAGAAUCUGCCUGCAGUGCAGGAGACCUAGGUUCGAUCCCUGGGUCAGGA